rnacentral:rRNA from 1 species
UGGGGAAUUUUGGACAAUGGGCGCAAGCCUGAUCCAGCCAUGCCGCGUGCGGGAAGAAGGCCUUCGGGUUGUAAACCGCUUUUGUCAGGGAAGAAAUCCUUUGAGCUAAUACCUCGGGGGGAUGACGGUACCUGAAGAAUAAGCACCGGCUAACUACGUGCCAGCAGCCGCGGUAAUACGUAGGGUGCGAGCGUUAAUCGGAAUUACUGGGCGUAAAGCGUGCGCAGGCGGUUAUGUAAGACAGAUGUGAAAUCCCCGGGCUCAACCUGGGAACUGCAUUUGUGACUGCAUAGCUAGAGUACGGCAGAGGGGGAUGGAAUUCCGCGUGUAGCAGUGAAAUGCGUAGAUAUGCGGAGGAACACCGAUGGCGAAGGCAGGUUACUACUAAUGGAUUGACGCUGAUGGACGAAAGCGUGGGGAGCGAACA